rnacentral:lncRNA from 1 species
ACUAAUGGUGGCUGUGGGCACAGGUUCUCUUGAGGCUAACUGUGCAGAACACUUCUAGAAUAAAUGAAGAUCAUGUAACAAAUAGAGAUGGUAGUGCUGUCUGAAGAGUCUCUGGAGUAUGUCACUGUGCUUCUUACCAACAUAGGGAUGCCUUGACUAAAGUGGGCCUGAAAUGGCUGAAAAGAAAAACCCUUAGUUUCUGCAGACAGAAAUGUUGCUACCCUCAAAGUGCCACAGCAUGAACAGAAGACUUGUCUCACAGAAGUCAACAGUCAUUGAGGAGAUGCAUGUAGACAUGGAGCAGAACCCCUGUGUGGUGGGCUGCAGACUGCUUCCUCCAACCUCCCUGCCCCAUCCCCACACAAAAAGAUAACCAAAUCCUAAUCUCUGGAACCUGUAAAUGUUUCCUCAUUUUGAAAAAGAGUCUUUGCAGAUGUGA